GUUAUUAUUUUGGGGUUUUUUUUUAAUGGGUUGAGAAUUAUUUUAUGGCUGAUUGUGUGAUCAGUUUUAUAGUAUGUGCCAUGUGCAAAUGAGAAGACAGUAUAUUCUAUUGUUAUUGGGUGAGGAGAAUUCAUUUCAUA